GAUGAAGAACGCAGCGAAAUGCGAUAAGUAAUGUGAAUUGCAGAAUUCAGUGAAUCAUCGAAUCUUUGAACGCACAUUGCGCCCCCUGGCAUUCCGGGGGGCAUGCCUGUUCGAGCGUCAUUUCACCACUCAAGCCUCGCUUGGUAUUGGGCAACGCGGUCCGCCGCGUGCCUCAAAUCGACCGGCUGGGUCUUCUGUCCCCUAAGCGUUGUGGAAACUAUUCGCUAAAGGGUGUUCGGGAGGCUACGCCGUAAAACAACCCCAUUUCUAAGGUUGACCUCGGAUCAGGUAGGGAUACCCGCUGAACUUAAGCAUAUCAAUAGCGGAGGA
rnacentral:misc_RNA from 1 species